AUCAUCUUUAGGUAACACCAAAUCCCUUUACGUAAUUUUAGGCCAAGCAUAUAACUGUUUCCAAAACGGGUCAUUCCUAACUACUUAUUUUGCUAGCUAUUGUUUGAUUUCAAAUUAUCCUUAUCAGUAAUAGGAUAAGAGCCGUAAAGCACUGCCUAUGGGACGGCUAAAAGCACCUCUGUUUUUAGAUUGUUCUGUUUGGCAAAUAUGUUACUGUGUUUGAGUGCUAAAACAUUUGGAGUGGUUUUGGUAAAAAGCAGAGGCCAGGUACCAGAAUUACAUUAUUGAGUAAUCAUCAAUUUUUUUAUGGACUCUGUUCUACCAUUAUAGAGUAUUUUUAACCACACAAUCCAGUUCUGAAGAGGCAACUUAACUCCACUGUGCUUUCUUCAUGUGCAACUACACAUUUAUAUGUGGUAACUCUCUACAGAUGUGUAGAGAUGAUUAUACAAUCAAGCAUUGCGUUGGUUUUUGGCAUCAUUUCAGUGAUCUGGUGAACAACUAAUAAGUAGCAUUAAUUACAAGUAAAACAAAAGAGAAGGAUGAAGAUCUAAGUGGAGUAUGAGAUGAAUCUGGGAAUGCAGAAGGAUCAAUGCAUCUUGUUCAGAAAGCCUUCAACGUUGCUGUUACAAUUUUUAACAGUCAAAUUUCAGAGCAAGCUCGAAUAACAGCAGGCCUAUAGAUCAGACUAGUAAUAGAAAAUUUUGUGUUAUCAAUGCUAUGGAAUGGAGAGAAUAACCACAAGAUCAAGAGUUUAACAUAGGUUGAAGAUUUAAGUCCAAUCAUCUUCAACUUCACAGAGCUCCUCCAUGGUGGUUAGGCAGCAGUCUCUUUAGAGCAUAUUCAACACACCAAAUGAUUGACUGCGCCCGACUCCUUACAACAUCAGAUGUGGAACUUACUGUUUAGAGUCCUGUGCAGUGCACCCAGCAGACACAAGAGUUUCUUCUGAUACAAACAAUUACACAUUU